CCUACGGGAGACAGCAGUGGGGGAUAUUGCACAAUGGGGGAAACCCUGAUGCAGCGACGCCGCGUGGGUGAAGAAGCGCCUCGGCGCGUAAAGCCCUGUCAGCAGGGAAGAAAAUGACGGUACCUGAAGAAGAAGCCCCGGCUAACUACGUGCCAGAAGCCGCGGUAAUACGUAGGGGGCAAGCGUUAUCCGGAUUUACUGGGUGUAAAGGGGGCGCAGACGGCGAUGCAAGCCAGGAGUGAAAGCCCGGGGCCCAACCCCGGGACUGCUCUUGGAACUGCGUGGCUAGAGUGCAGGAGGGGCAGGCGGAAUUCCUGGUGUAGCGGUGAACUGCGUAGAUAUCAGGAGGAACACCGGUGGCGAAGGCGGCCUGCUGGACUGCAACUGACGUUGAGGCCCGAAAGCGUGGGGAGCAAACAGGAUUAGAUACCCGGGUAGUC
rnacentral:rRNA from 1 species